UGUUGCCGAGGGGGACGUCACUCCGCGAUAACACACUAAAACGCACAAAAACGAGCUCGAAAAGCAUCAACGCUACUCAUCGUGCCGAGAUUUCACAUAACGCCACCCUAAAGCAAGUUAUCGCAAGUUAACGCGCGUUAAAGCGAAUUAAAGCGACCAGCGUCUGCUCGACUUUUGAACCAGGGAAAUCUAUCUUGCAACCUUGCCGUCGAGCAGUUUUUGGUCAUGUUUGGCAACUCAGUAUUUGUUUUGGUUUUUUUCAAGCAGUUUUGACAGAAAGAAAAAAACAAAGCAAAAAGCGCCCGGAAAAAAAAAUCAACGCCCGGAGAAGUUUGUUUCGGUGUGAUCGCCGGCUCCACCGUCCACAGAGCGCGACGCACGUUUUGACGACCGGAAAAGUUAACUUUUCUCCCGGUGUGUUGGGUUUGAUCGGCGCUUGGAUCGGCGGCUCUAACAUCAAGUGGAGCGGAUUUUGGCGGAAAAUCCUGGCGCAAACUCAAGGAGGAGCAAAUUUUUCGAGCAGAUAAACAACGCGCUUGGAUGUAGAUAUGCCUAGACUGGGGCCAUUCCAGUCCGGCGCUCCGCUGACCACUGAAAGGCGCACCACCACGUUGCAAAUAUCAAUGGCCAUUAUUCACCAGCUUUUGCCCGACCAAGGACAACUUUGAAACAUCCUCCAGCUCGCAGAACGUCCAUGCGACGCUAGACGCUUUCAACCAGCUGGGCAAUCUCUUUUUAAAGAUCAACGGCGAAGUGCUGGAUGUGGUAUUGGCUGUGUUCAACAAGGAUGGACACUCCAGACUGGAUGUUCCCGAGUCCCGAGACCACGUUUGAACCCAUCGAAGAGACCAUCAACCUGAUGGACAAGAAGGUGGUACACCCCGCGGAAAAAAAUCUAGCUGCCGCAGUAUAUCGACAUGCGGGGACGAGCUCUCCCGAUCCAGCUGCGCACCUGAACCACCUCGACCACAAUCUGGACGGCUGUCUCCGCAGAUGUACCAAAUUUAAUAAAAUUAUGAAAAAGA